AACCUCAGGGAGUUUCGCCGCGCUUCGGCUCCACCCGGGAGACCAAAGCCCUGGACCGCUCAGCUGGAGGCUCAGACGUUUCCCCCGCGCGGUGAACAGCAGUGUGCUCUGCAUUCCGUCGCCAAGUCCCGGUCCCAGAGGCGGUGGCUGAGGGCCCCACGUUCCUUCAUUGCAUCCUGGCGCUGCUUCAGCUGCGGGACUGUCCCUGGACCGCGCGGGUCGACCCUCACUCUCUUUGCUAUGACAUCACCAUCAUCCCUAAGUGCAGACCUGGACCACGGUGGUGUUCAGUUCAAGGCCAGAGAUCAGAAUGUGGACAACGGUUCAUCCUGGAGCCAGAAAGAUGAAAGAAAAGUGGGAGAAUGGCAAGGAUGUGACCAUGUCCUUCCAUUACAUCUCAAUGGGAGACUGCACAAGAUGGCUUGGGGACUUUUUGAUGGGCAUGGACAGCACCCUGGAGCCAAGUGCAGGAGGUAACUGAAGAAAGAGAAAUGGGGAUCUCAAGUGGGUAUCCCUGGAGGAGGCUCAGAAGAAAGCAAUCUGGGGCAUUCCCAAGAGGAGGGGGUUUUGAGUUCCCGGGCACACUCAAUUCCUGUGGCAGAAGUUUAGGGCUUCAUUCCAGAGAAACCAGUUCGGGUACCAGCGAUUAAUGUGGAAAGUGAAGAGAAGAGAGUGUCCAGGACAAGGUUUAGAAAAGCCCAAACCCCUGGGACACAUGGGAUUCCUGGCCGGGCCCUGGGCUGAUGCCCCUGCCAUCCCACCUCCAUCACACUCCAGAUCCUGAGCCAGCUGAUGGCUCUGUCUGGAGCAGAGUGGACUCAGAGACCAGGGAUAUGGUGGCACAUGGGGGCGGGUGACCUGCUGCUGGAGUUUCAUGCUUACCUCUGAGCUCACCAGGAAUGGAUGGCACAGGCCAUGGACAGUCACAUUCAGAGUUAUGGGUGCCACUUCAAGGUGAUGUGGGAAGCUCUCUGAUGUGGAACAUCAAGGAAAUGGUAGGUACAGGCUUCAGGGCCAGGGCUGGGUGUGCAGGGAAAAACCUGCCCCUCAGUGACAGGGGCUG
rnacentral:lncRNA from 1 species